GGCGGCGUGCCUAAUACAUGCAAGUAGAACGCUGAAGGAGGAGCUUGCUUCUCUGGAUGAGUUGCGAACGGGUGAGUAACGCGUAGGUAACCUGCCUGGUAGCGGGGGAUAACUAUUGGAAACGAUAGCUAAUACCGCAUAAGAGCGGUUGUUGCAUGACAGCUGUUUAAAAGGUGCAAUUGCACCACUACCAGAUGGACCUGCGUUGUAUUAGCUAGUUGGUGAGGUAACGGCUCACCAAGGCGACGAUACAUAGCCGACCUGAGAGGGUGAUCGGCCACACUGGGACUGAGACACGGCCCAGACUCCUACGGGAGGCAGCAGUAGGGAAUCUUCGGCAAUGGGGGCAACCCUGACCGAGCAACGCCGCGUGAGUGAAGAAGGUUUUCGGAUCGUAAAGCUCUGUUGUAAAGAGAAAGAAACGAAGUGUGAAGAAGUGGAAAAGUU
rnacentral:rRNA from 1 species